rnacentral:tRNA from 2 species
GGUGCUAUAAGGUUAAAAUUAUGUUGCUACCGUAAUUAAUUAAAGUUCGAGUCUUUAAUGGUGCCA